rnacentral:rRNA from 1 species
UACGGAGGGUGCAAGCGUUGUCCGGAAUCACUGGGCGUAAAGGGUGCGUAGGCGGCCUGACAAGUCUGAUGUGAAAUCCCUGGGCUCAACCCAGGGCCUGCAUCGGAAACUGUCGGGCUUGAGUAUGGGAGAGGUGAGUGGAAUUUCCGGUGUAGCGGUGAAAUGCGUAGAUAUCGGGAGGAACACCUGUGGCGAAAGCGGCUCACUGGACCACAACUGACGCUGAUGCACGAAAGCUAGGGGAGCAAACAGG